GUUCCAGUAGCUCAGUGGUUAGAGCAGCUUUAUGCAAAGCUGAAGGUCAGGGAUUCAAGUCCCCUCUGCAGACU